CUUUUAUGGCUCGGCGGUGCUGGGCUCUGAAAUGGAGAUCGAGCAUCAAAUUCAACAGUAGUCUCUCUUCCAGAAAGCUCCACAAGUUCCACGAGUCAACACACAGACAGAGUCUUUUCUUCAGAGCCCAGCUGCAAACGAUUAAACACUAGCCACAUAAGCUGCAGCUCGAAGUAACACUGCGACGAGCCGAGGAGUUAAGUAAUAACCUAUUACUUGAGUGAAAUGUCACCGCAUUCGCGUUAGCAAACAAUGGUUUAACUUUUGAGUCCAUCUGUAACUGAGUCAGCUCCAGUAAUUAGACCGAGCCCGGGAGGGGAAAAAAAGGGCAAGAACAUCCUUUACCUUGAAGCGUUUUUAGCCAGCAGCAGCAAAUGUCUCCCGUUUCCCAUGCACGAGGAUAACGCUCCGCCGGCCAGAGAAAAAGUCCCGCUCACAGACGCUUCGUGUACGUUCAUAGAAAAGUAAGGCAAGCCGGUACGGCCGGGCUUCUUCUUGAAAAGCUAGCCAGCGUUAAGUUAGCCUGUUCCCAUUGACUCCCCGGGCCAGCCCAUGCAGCCGUAAUACGUGUACACAAA